GAUUUCAACUGAAAAAGUCAUCAAUAACAAAGUUGUAUAAUUCAUUAAGAUCUUAACUUUUAUUUUAGUCAUUUCUUUAUCCGACAAAGUGAUUUGUAAAAUUGUUCACAAAAUGUACAUCUCUUAUAAAACUCUAUAAGAGAUGUACAAGAGAUGUAUAUUUUAUGAACAAUCUUAUAAAUCACUUUCACAGAUGAAGAAAUAACUAAAAUAGAAUUUAUAGAUCUUGAUGAGUUAUACAACUUUGUUAUUAAUGACAUUUUUAUAUGAAAUC
rnacentral:pre_miRNA from 1 species